GAUGAACGCUGGCGGCGUGCUUAACACAUGCAAGUCGAACGAAGCACUUUACUACGAUUUCUUCGGAAUGACGGUUUUGUGACUGAGUGGCGGACGGGUGAGUAACGCGUGGAUAACCUGCCUCAUACAGGGGGAUAACAGCCGGAAACGGCUGCUAAUACCGCAUAAGCGCACGGUACCGCAUGGUACAGUGUGAAAAACUCCGGUGGUAUGGGAUGGAUCCGCGUCUGAUUAGCCAGUUGGCGGGGUAACGGCCCACCAAAGCGACGAUCAGUAGCCGACCUGAGAGGGUGACCGGCCACAUUGGGACUGAGACACGGCCCAAACUCCUACGGGAGGCAGCAGUGGGGAAUAUUGCACAAUGGGGGAAACCCUGAUGCAGCGACGCCGCGUGAGCGAAGAAGUAUUUCGGUAUGUAAAGCUCUAUCAGCAGGGAAGAAAAUGACGGUACCUGACUAAGAAGCCCCGGCUAACUACGUG
rnacentral:rRNA from 1 species